rnacentral:rRNA from 1 species
CCUACGGGUGGCAGCAGUGAGGAAUAUUGGUCAAUGGACGAGAGUCUGAACCAGCCAAGUAGCGUGAAGGAUGACUGCCCUAUGGGUUGUAAACUUCUUUUAUAUGGGAAUAAAAUGUUCCACGUGUGGGAUUUUGUAUGUACCAUAUGACUAAGGAUCGGCUAACUCCGUGCCAGCAGCCGCGGUAAUACGGAGGAUCCGAGCGUUAUCCGGAUUUAUUGGGUUUAGAGGGAGCGUAGGUGGAUUGUUAAGUCAGUUGUGAAAGUUUGCGGCUCAACCGUAAAAUUGCAGUUGAAACUGGCAGUCUUGAGUACAGUAGAGGUGGGCGGAAUUCGUGGUGUAGCGGUGAAAUGCUUAGAUAUCACGAAGAACUCCGAUUGCGAAGGCAGUUCACUGGACUGCAACUGACACUGAGGCUCGAAAGUGUGGGUAUCAAACAGGAUUAGAUACCCGGGUAGUC